rnacentral:rRNA from 2 species
UACGGAGGGUGCAAGCGUUAUCCGGAUUCACUGGGUUUAAAGGGUGCGUAGGCGGGUUGGUAAGUCAGUGGUGAAAUCUUCAAGCUUAACUUGGAAACUGCCGUUGAUACUAUCAAUCUUGAAUAUUGUGGAGGUAAGCGGAAUAUGUCAUGUAGCGGUGAAAUGCUUAGAUAUGACAUAGAACACCGAUAGCGAAGGCAGCUUGCUACACAGUAAUUGACGCUGAGGCACGAAAGCGUGGGGAUCAAACAGG